AGGACGAACGCUGGCGGCAUGCCUAAUACAUGCAAGUCGAACGAACUCUUCGGAGUUAGUGGCGCACGGGUGCGUAACGCGUGGGGAAUCUGCCCUUGGGUUCGGAAUAACAGUUGGAAACGACUGCUAAUACCGGAUGAUGACGAAAGUCCAAAGAUUUAUCGCCCAGGGAUGAGCCCGCGUAGGAUUAGCUAGUUGGUGAGGUAAAGGCUCACCAAGGCGGCGAUCCUUAGCUGGUCUGAGAGGAUGGAUCAGCCACACUGGGACUGAGACACGGCCCAGACUCCUACGGGAGGCAGCAGUAGGGAAUA
rnacentral:rRNA from 1 species